GCCCGCUUGGCUCAGUGGUAAGGCGUCUCACUCGUAGAUUUUGAAUCUAGCCAAUGAGAAGAUCGUAGGUUCGAUUCCUGCAGUGGGCA
rfam:Fonsecaea multimorphosa CBS 102226 unplaced genomic scaffold supercont1.1, whole genome shotgun sequence.